CUCCCCAGGACCAGGGUUGGUCACCCCUGGUCUAAACAUUCACACUUCACGCUAGCAAAAGUAUGUGCACUCUUGUAUCUAGAAACAGCUUUUCAGGCCCCAAGGCGAAAAAAAAAAAAAUCCAACCCAAACCAUUGUGUUCCCUCCAUCCACCAUGAUACACAGUUGGGUGAAGUUUUGGUGUUGGGUAGGGUACAAACCACACCUCCAAUCUCAUCUCAUCAAUUGGAACACCUGACUCCAAUUAGCUUUUGGAGAAGUCAUUAGCCUUGAGUUUCACAUACUUUUUCCAACCUACACUGUGAAUGUCUAAAUGAUGCUGAUCAAGUCGGUGAAGUCCUGCCAAAGAAACUUUGCUGUAUGUUUAAGCUCUAAAUGUAUGUAUGUAUGCAUGUAUGUGGCAAAGUUGUCAGUAAAGUUCUACAAAUAAAAGAAUGAAAAA